GCGGGGGCCGGCCCUGGCCGCUCCGCCUAUUGGGACUGGGGGGCCUGGGCCAGCCGUCGGCGCGGUGAUAAUGGGGCGCUGCCGUCUGGAGCCCCACGGCCACUGAAACCGCAGUGACACGACAUCGGUGGAAGGGACAGAGCAUUUCCAGGAGCAUCUACGCAGUCCAUGGCACCACGGGACUGGGUUGUAGGCACAGUUGGAAGGCGGCUUGGUAAGAAUCAGCCAAACCCUCAUCACCUUCCAAGUGAAGACCGAAAAUGUAUUUGGAUAAGGGCACCCGCUUUGGUCACAUAAACCGGCACUGUAAGGAUUCUCAGCGAAAUGAAACGAAAGAAGGCAGCAUUGCCUUUAUCUCGUUCGAACAUCUUAUUUCCUCACUCAGGCAGCUUAAAACCCGGUGCCGUGCACCCGCUGGUCCAGUGCGGGUUUUAUAAAUGACGGAAACACAGCGGUAGUGAGCAAGCAGCGAACGGCUCCCAGAGCUCUGACGCCUCGGGGUAUCCCCGAUGCAGGGGCCGAACCGCUGUCUGAGGAGGGGCACCUGCCCCAGCCCAGCCAGGAGCCGGGGUUCGUUUCACCCCUGUUCGCACACACGCGCCAGCCCUACAUCUCCCUUACACCAGCAGAAAACGUGAGGUGAUGAAGUGAGCUGCCGCCUUUGGGCGAUUUGUGCGGAGCGCUCCUCCAGCUCAGUGAGCGCGGAUCAAAGAACGCCAGCGUCGAGGUGCUUCCGAGCCCAACUCACCGCUCCCCGAGCAGCAAGGCCCCACAUCGCUUCCCCGAAAGCUCCCGGCGCUUCCCGACCCCCCCGUGGCCCCGAGCCCCCGGCAUCCGAAAGGUGCCCGGUUCCCCUGCACCAUCGCACACCGCAAGCCGAACUCCGCCGAGCUGCCCCGAGCCCUCCGCCCCCGCCGCACGCAGCGCGGAGCCUCCCCGGGCUCACAGAGGAGCCGGGAGGACACCGCGGAGCUCCCGACCCCGCGGCUGCUGAGGGAGCAGAGCGGCGUGCGGGAUCCCGGGCGCAGGAACAACGUAAUCGAGAUCGGAGCCGCUCAUUGUACAUGAAGAUUAAUUCAGCAUUACAAAGAUCUCACAGAUCACUGAGAUCGCUAAGAUCACAAAGCGGUUGUGUUUUUCUCAGUGAAAUUAAAAUACGUUUGGACUGCACCAGGAGCUGUCAUUACGGCUUUCCUGCCCUUCCGUUCAAGGCUGAGCUGCACAGGACCAAGCACAGAGCGGUGCCUGGGGCCGGGCAGAGCUCCCCAAGCCUGCAUUUCCAAGAACACAAAUCCUGUCCGUUUUUAUACUUAAGUACGUGCAAGUAAUUAAAAAAAAAAAAAAAAAAGCUUUAUACAAUGCUGGAUCCACUCCAAAAGAUCAGGCAUCUGAACUGAACUAAACAAUUCGAGGCAGCCCAUUUGUGCUGGUUUUAUGUCAGAGGAGCCACGACAAAUUUGUACUGGUGCAAGGUAUAUCGGGACAAGCUAGAUAGAUGCUAAAGUUAUGGCUUUGUGAAGGACACUCAUGUAACCAUACAACUAAAGCCAAUCCCAACGAUGCCGGGAUGAAAUGGAUUUCCUCUUUGCCACCACUCAGCUCCCAGACUAUGCUUACUAAGGCCAGAAUGAAAGAAUCUAAUAAAAUAUGCUCUAGAAGGUGGACUAUACUACUA
ensembl:lncRNA predicted GPI-anchored protein 58